rnacentral:rRNA from 1 species
GACAGAGGUCCCAAGCGUUAGGCGGAAUCACUGGGCUUAAAGCGUGUGUAGGCGGAUUUGUAAGUACCUUGUGAAAUCCCAUGGCUCAACCAUGGAACUGCUUGGUAUACUGCUUAUCUUGGGCCAUCUAGGGGCGAGCGGAACAAACGGUGGAGCGGUGAAAUGCGUAGAUAUCGUUUGGAACGCCAAUGGUGAAAACAGCUCGCUGGGGAUGUGCCGACGCUAAGAUACGAAAGCCAGGGGAGCGAACGGG